GGAAUUUUUUAAACAGAGCCCAGAAAAACAGCCAGGGGUGGGCCAGAUGGGCUCAGAGGAAGGCAGUUCUCCAGGCUUCCUGUGCUCUGGGAAGAGAGGAGCCGGCUGUGGUGUUUGCUCCAAGAAGCCACCAGAGGAAGUUUCCUGAUAAGCCAGGACCUCUGCUCCAGGGGAAGGCAGGCACUGGACCAGGAUCCCCGUCUGAGGAACACAGCGGUGCUUGCUGACCUCAUUCAGCCUGAGGCAGCACUUGCUCUGGCACUCGCUGUGGAGUUCCUGUUGUGGCUCAGUGGUAACAAACCCGACGAGAU